UUUGUUCUCCUCCUCCCAGGGCCUCAGCGACAGCGGCUCCACACCACACCACCGUGAAAACCAAAUCAGCAGAAGCCUGCUGGAAAUUGAUGCGUGAUGCCUGAGAAACUUGCUCUGGAUGCUAAGAGACGCCCAUUACUGGCACCUUCCCUUGACUGUCUCAGAAUUGCUUGAGGGCCCUGUUGCUUUGUCAGCCACGCCAGUAAUGAGCUGGUAACCCUCACUAACCUUGGCCAAUUGCACGGUCACGUCUGGACUCACGUGGAGAGGGAAGCCCAUCUGAAAAGCAUCGGAGGCAAUGCCUCUGACCUUUCCGGAUACCCUCUGCCCCUCCCACCCACCAAAGUGCGGUUCCGUCCUGUGGCUUGGGAAAAGCACAAAACCAGGUCGACCAGGGCUCCCAGGACUUGGGAGGCAACCUUAUUCCUGCCGGCACCGGUCCGUUGGGCUCGUACCCGAAGAACUGAGCCCCGAAUGCCACGUGGAGUAGUUUUCUAUAUAUUUUUUAUUUCUUUGUCUCCUAUGUAUGGUAACGCACAAACAUGCAGUCUGAUUAAGUGGUCUCAUG